rnacentral:rRNA from 1 species
GACGAACGCUGGCGGCGUGCCUAAUACAUGCGAGUUGAGCGCUGAAGGUUGGUACUUGUACCGACUGGAUGAGCAGCGAACGGGUGAGUAACGCGUGGGGAAUCUGCCUUUGAGCGGGGGACAACAUUUGGAAACGAAUGCUAAUACCGCAUAAAAACUUUAAACACAAGUUUUAAGUUUGAAAGAUGCAAUUGCAUCACUCAAAGAUGAUCCCGCGUUGUAUUAGCUAGUUGGUGAGGUAAAGGCUCACCAAGGCGAUGAUACAUAGCCGACCUGAGAGGGUGGUCGGCCACAUUGGGACUGAGACACGGCCCAAACUCCUACGGGAGGCAGCAGUAGGGAAUCUUCGGCAAUGGACGAAAGUCUGACCGGGCAACGCCGCGGGAGUGAAGAAGGUUUUCGGAUCGUAAAACUCUGUUGGUAGAGAAGAACGUUGGUGAGAGUGGAAAGCUCAUCAAGUGACGGUAACUACCCAGAAAGGGACGGCUAACUACGUG